rnacentral:rRNA from 1 species
GACGAGGGACCUAGCGUUGUUCGGAAUCAUUGGGCGUAAAGCGGGUGUAGGUGGCUUUGUAAGUCAGGUGUGAAAGCCUGGGCUCAACCCCAGAAGUGCAUUUGAUACUGCGAAGCUUGAGUGCCGGAGAGGUUACUAGAAUUCCAGGUGUAGUGGUGAAAUACGUAGAUAUCUGGAGGAAUACCGGAGGCGAAGGCGGGUAAACUGGCCGGACACUGACACUCAGACCCGAAAGCGUGGGGAUCAAAACAGGAUUAGGAAACCCCU